rnacentral:lncRNA from 10 species
CUGGGGGUCACCGUAAAGGUGGAGCAGCAUUCCCCUAAGCACAGACGUUGGGGCCACUGACUGGCUUUGGGACAACUCGGGGCGCAUUAACGGUGAAUAAAAUCUUUCCCGGUUGCAGCCAUGAAUAAUCAAGGUGAGAGACCAGUUAGAGCGGUUCAGUGCGGAAAACGGGAAAGCAAAAGCCCCUCUGAAUGCUGCGCACCGAGAUUCUCCCAAGGCAAGGGGAGGGGCUGCAUUGCAGGGUCCACUUGCAGCGUCGGAACGCAAAUGCAGCAUUCCUAAUGCACACAUGAUACCCAAAAUAUAACACCCACAUUCCUCAUGUGGUGAGGGUGAGGGUGAGGGUGAGGGUUGGG